rnacentral:rRNA from 1 species
CCUCUUGCAAGACCAAUGAAUAAGAGGUCCCGCCUGCCCUGUGACUAUAUGUUUAACGGCCGCGGUAUUUUGACCGUGCGAAGGUAGCGCAAUCACUUGUCUUUUAAAUGGAGACCCGUAUGAAUGGCUCCACGAGGGCUUAGCUGUCUCCCCCUCCCAGUCAAUGAAAUUGAUCUCCCCGUGCAGAAGCGGGGAUAAUAACAUAAGACGGGAAGACCCUAUGGAGCUUAAGGCGCCAGGGCAGCCCACGUUAAACACCCCUAGUUAAAGGAAUGAACCAAGUGAACCCUGCCCCAGUGUUUUUGGUUGGGGCGACCGCGGGGAAAUACAAAACCCCCAUGUGGACCAGGAACACUACAUGUUCCCAAACCCGAGAGCUACCGCUCUAAUAAACAGAACUUCUGACCAGCUAAGAUCGGCAGUGCCGAUCAACGGAACGAGUUACCCUAGGGAUAACAGCGCAAUCCUCUUAAAGAGUCCUUAUCGACAAGGGGGUUUACGACCUCGAUGUUGGAUCAGGACAUCCUAAUGGUGCAGCCGCUAUUAAGGGUUCGUUUGUUCAACGAUUAAAGUCCU